rnacentral:rRNA from 1 species
CCUACGGGAGGCAGCAGUGGGGAAUAUUGCACAAUGGGGGAAACCCUGAUGCAGCAACGCCGCGUGAGCGAAGAAGGCCUUCGGGUCGUAAAGCUCUGUCCUAAGGGAAGAAAAAUGACGGUACCUUAGGAGGAAGCCCCGGCUAACUACGUGCCAGCAGCCGCGGUAAUACGUAGGGGGCGAGCGUUAUCCGGAAUCACUGGGCGUAAAGGGUGCGUAGGCGGUUUGUUAAGCGAGAUGUGAAAGCCCCGGGCUCAACCUGGGAACCGCAUUUCGAACUGGCAAACUAGAGUCUUGUAGAGGGGGGUAGAAUUCCAGGUGUAGCGGUGAAAUGCGUAGAGAUCUGGAGGAAUACCGGUGGCGAAGGCGGCCCCCUGGACAGAUACUGACACUCAGAUGCGAAAGCGUGGGGAGCAAACAGGAUUAGAUACCCGAGUAGUC